GGAAAUGCCAGCCCCAGGCUUCAACUGGGCCUUCUCCAGAGGCCAGCAACCCCAAACUGCAGAACGGAGCAGGGAGAGCCAGUGGGAAACCCACAUUGAAGCCCCACAACCCACCAGCGUGUACCCAAGAUGGUUGUCAGAGGGAGACCAUCAUUAAGAAACCCUGCAUUCUCAUCAUGGACUCUCUGAAGAUCUCUUACCAUGAGA